rfam:Streptomyces sp. TSRI0107 scaffold3, whole genome shotgun sequence.
CUUCAGGGAGCCGAGCAGCAGCGGCUGUUCGGCGGUGUGGGCGCGCCCGUAGGUGGCGAGCAGCGCCUCGGCCUC